UAGCAGCCUUGUGGCACGUGAUAAGUAAGUAGGACAUGUCAACUGCAACUCUUUUGCCAAGUCUUUGUUAGGAUAACAGCAGAUUUGAUUCUUGUUCUUUCUCCAGGUUGCUGUGGGAGUGUAACUGAUGCGCCUCAUUAGAGUUUGAGAUUGUGGUCAUAGGAAGCCGGAUAACAGCGUUUAUGUUUCAUUUCUCUUCUGGUUUGUCCUGAGGGAAAGAGCAGUGGUGAUCAAGAAGGGCCACGGGCAUCCCACAGGGAUUUUGCAGGAGCAUCUGUCUGGAGAAGGAGAGAAGACAAGGAGUGGGACCUCCUCC
rnacentral:lncRNA from 1 species